GAUUUCUGGUACGGCGCACUUGGCCCGCUUCGGUUACGAGGUCGAGUGCCGGUGUGCGCCUGCCAUCCUUCUAGAGUACGACUCUCCCUUCAGUGGGUUGGGCCGGAAUCUAGAUCAUUUACUUUGAAAAAAUUAGAGUGUUUAAAGCAGGCUUACGCUAUGAAUACAUUAGCAUGGAAUAAUAAUUUAGGACUUUGGCCCUAUUUUGUUGGUUUCUAGGACUGAAGUAAUGAUUGAUAGGGAUAGUUGGGGGUGCUCGAAUUCAGCGGCCAGAGGUGAAAUUCUUGGAUUCGCUGAAGACGAACUCAUGCGAAAGCAUU
rnacentral:rRNA from 1 species